AACGUAGGGGACAAGCGUUAUCCGGAUUUACUGGGCGUAAAGCGCCCGUAGGCGGCCUGACAAGUUGGACGUGAAAGCUCCUGGCUUAACUGGGAGAGGCCGUUCAAAACUGUCAAGCUAGAGUCUGGAAGAGGAGAGCGGAAUUCCCGGUGUAGUGGUGGAAUGCGUAGAGAUCCGGAAGAACACCGGUGGCGAAGGCGGUCUGCUGGGCAGUAGCUGACACUGAUGCGCGACAGCGUGGGGAGCAAACAGG
rnacentral:rRNA from 1 species